CACGUAGUUUGCCGGGGCUUUCUUACGAGGUACCGUCAUUCUUCAUCCCUCGCGACAGAAGUUUACAAUCCGAAAACCUUCAUCCUUCACGCGGCGUUGCUGGGUCAGAGUUCCCUCCAUUGCCCAAUAUUCCCCACUGCUGCCUCCCGUAGGAGUUUGGACCGUAUCUCAGUUCCAAUGUGGCCGUUUACCCUCUCAGGUCGGCUACCCAUCGUUGACUUGGUGGGCCGUUACCUCACCAACUAUCUAAUGGGACGCGAGCCCAUCUCUGUCCAGUAACCUUUUUACCCCAAUACGAUGCCGUAUCGUGGUCUUAUUCGGUAUUAGCACCUAUUUCUAAGUGUUAUCCCGAUGACAGAGGCAGGUUGCUCACGCGUUACUCACCCGUCCGCCGCUAACGUAUUGCUACGUCCGCUCGACUUGCAUGUGUUAAGCACGCCGCCAGCGUUCGUCCUGAGCCAGGAUCAAACUCU
rnacentral:rRNA from 1 species